CGCUUCCGCCCCUCAGGUCCUCCCGACAGCUCCACCGGGCAAAUACUUUAACUUCACAGGCAGCCCUGGGAGGGGCAGCUGGGCUUGGACCACGUGUAUCUGAAUCCGAAGGCGUCCCUCCACAGUGCUUACAAAUCAGCAGUGUGAUCUGCAUUGUGAGGCGCGUAAGGGACCGAACAACACAGAAGCAGGAUCACUUCCACCCGGAAACGUCUGAGACGAGGUCCGGGGAGAUGUCAGGGCUCUGAGGAUGGAUGGAGGGGCUCCUUUAGGACUUCAGUCAGAGUGGCACGGCAUUGCAGGUGGCGGGAACGACCCGCAGCGAGGUGAAGCCUGAGCCGCACUUGUGCCCCUUGGGGCUGGGGAGCAGCUCACAGCCCCGCGGGAGACACAAAGGACGCAGGCGACUGGAGAGCUGGGGCAGAGGAGCUAACAUUGUCCAACAGUUUGAAGAGUCGAGGAAAAUGAACACAACUAAAGUAUAUCUACACGCUUCUACAAACUUGAAUUUCCUGAAUACCUGGAGGAUUGCCAGCUAAUAAUGCCGAUAUUCUGUUUGCAGCCAGGGUCUUCUCUUUUUACAAGACUCAAAGAACAAUUAAGAUGGAGGAAAAGAAAAAUAAAGAGUGAUUAAUAUGUUGAAGGCAGAGUGUUAAGAGGAUGGACAGCUACCAGCAAGGUUAAGAUGUCCAUACCCAUCAGUGGAUGUAGUUGAUAUGGAGAAACGGUAAAAAAAAAAAUGACAUCCCCUCCCAGAUUCCAAAAAAGUGAUUGUGGCUCCUAUGAAGAUCCUAAGGAUAGAACCAGAGAUGAGACUUCCUUUUGAACUGUAUACUCAUUCCUGCUCAUUUUUGUUAGUCAAUGCAAAACCCAUUUUAUUUUUUAAUACUAAGUUCAUUUAGUUUCUGUUUUCACUGAUGCUGUAUACAGAAUGGGAAAACAAAAUUCAGGUGCUAGCACUGUCAAGACCUUUUUAAAGGAGCAUUAUUUACCUUAUGAAAGUAAUUCAUCUGCUUCAAAAUAAGAACAUCAAUUUUCUUUUUACUUGUCAGAAUCUUCUAAAAGUCAUUCAAGUAACUUGCAAAAGCUGAUAAAAAUGUUAACACAAACUGAACAUGGGGCAGUUCCACUAAGCAUGCCGAGAUUAACUGCACAAAAAGUACUGUUUCAAUUAUUAAGGCCACUAGGACCUCAGUCAAGGGCAACAUCUAGC